GGUUAAGCGACUAAGCGUACACGGUGGAUGCCCUGGCAGUCAGAGGCGAUGAAGGACGUGCUAAUCUGCGAUAAGCGUCGGUAAGGUGAUAUGAACCGUUAUAACCGGCGAUUUCCGAAUGGGGAAACCCAGUGUGAUUCGUCACACUAUCAUUAACUGAAUCCAUAGGUUAAUGAGGCGAACCGGGGGAACUGAAACAUCUAAGUACCCCGAGGAAAAGAAAUCAACCGAGAUUCCCCCAGUAGCGGCGAGCGAACGGGGAGCAGCCCAGAGCCUGAAUCAGUGUGUGUGUUAGUGGAAGCGUCUGGAAAGGCGCGCGAUACAGGGUGACAGCCCCGUACACAAAAAUGCACAUACUGUGAGCUCGAUGAGUAGGGCGGGACACGUGGUAUCCUGUCUGAAUAUGGGGGGACCAUCCUCCAAGGCUAAAUACUCCUGACUGACCGAUAGUGAACCAGUACCGUGAGGGAAAGGCGAAAAGAACCCCGGCGAGGGGAGUGAAAAAGAACCUGAAACCGUGUACGUACAAGCAGUGGGAGCACGCUUAGGCGUGUGACUGCGUACCUUUUGUAUAAUGGGUCAGCGACUUAUAUUCUGUAGCAAGGUUAACCGAAUAGGGGAGCCGAAGGGAAACCGAGUCUUAACUGGGCGUUAAGUUGCAGGGUAUAGACCCGAAACCCGGUGAUCUAGCCAUGGGCAGGUUGAAGGUUGGGUAACACUAACUGGAGGACCGAACCGACUAAUGUUGAAAAAUUAGCGGAUGACUUGUGGCUGGGGGUGAAAGGCCAAUCAAACCGGGAGAUAGCUGGUUCUCCCCGAAAGCUAUUUAGGUAGCGCCUCGUGAAUUCAUCUCCGGGGGUAGAGCACUGUUUCGGCAAGGGGGUCAUCCCGACUUACCAACCCGAUGCAAACUGCGAAUACCGGAGAAUGUUAUCACGGGAGACACACGGCGGGUGCUAACGUCCGUCGUGAAGAGGGAAACAACCCAGACCGCCAGCUAAGGUCCCAAAGUCAUGGUUAAGUGGGAAACGAUGUGGGAAGGCCCAGACAGCCAGGAUGUUGGCUUAGAAGCAGCCAUCAUUUAAAGAAAGCGUAAUAGCUCACUGGUCGAGUCGGCCUGCGCGGAAGAUGUAACGGGGCUAAACCAUGCACCGAAGCUGCGGCAGCGACGCUGAUGCGUUGUUGGGUAGGGGAGCGUUCUGUAAGCCUG
rnacentral:rRNA from 1 species